rnacentral:rRNA from 1 species
GCGUGCUUACACAUGCAAGUCGAACGGUGAACACGGAGCUUGCUCUGUGGGAUCAGUGGCGAACGGGUGAGUAACACGUGAGCAACCUGCCCCUGACUCUGGGAUAAGCGCUGGAAACGGCGUCUAAUACUGGAUAUGUGACGUGACCGCAUGGUCUGUGUCUGGAAAGAUUUUUCGGUUGGGGAUGGGCUCGCGGCCUAUCAGCUUGUUGGUGAGGUAAUGGCUCACCAAGGCGUCGACGGGUAGCCGGCCUGAGAGGGUGACCGGCCACACUGGGACUGAGACACGGCCCAGACUCCUACGGGAGGCAGCAGUGGGGAAUAUUGCACAAUGGGCGCAAGCCUGAUGCAGCAACGCCGCGUGAGGGAUGACGGCCUUCGGGUUGUAAACCUCUUUUAGCAGGGAAGAAGCGAAAGUGACGGUACCUGCAGAAAAAGCGCCGGCUAACUACGUGCCA